rnacentral:rRNA from 1 species
UACGAGGGGGGCAAGCGUUGUUCGGAAUUAUUGGGCGUAAAGAGCUCGUAGGCGGUUUGUCGCGUCUGCCGUGAAAGUCCGGGGCUCAACUCCGGAUCUGCGGUGGGUACGGGCAGACUAGAGUGCAGUAGGGGAGACUGGAAUUCCCGGUGUAGCGGUGAAAUGCGUAGAGAUCGGGAGGAACACCAGUGGCGAAGGCGGCUACCUGGACCAGCACUGACACUGAGGCACGAAAGCGUGGGGAGCAAACAGG